rnacentral:rRNA from 1 species
CAUGUAGGCGGAUUAAUAAGUUUGAAGUGAAAUCCUAUAGCUUAACUAUAGAACUGCUUUGAAAACUGUUAAUCUAGAAUGUGGGAGAGGUAGAUGGAAUCUCUGGUGUAGGGUAAAUCCGUAGAGAUCAGAAGGAAUACCGAUUGCGAAGGCGAUCUACUGGAACAUUAUUGACGCUGAGAUGCGAAAGCGUGGGGAGCAAACA